GCUCAAGAAGAAGUUAAACAAAAGGAAUUACAACUAGAAGAAGAGGAAAUAGAAGCAAUGCAUCUGCAAUGGAGUCAGGCAAAUGCUGCUCUGCUAAAGCAUUUGGCGGCCAAAGAAGUUUCUUGGAAAUAGAAAGCCAGAGUAAGGUGGUUAAAAGAUGCUGAUUCGAACACAAGAUAUUUUCACUCUGCACUUUUAGAUAAGUGAGUUUGGCUUUCUAUGUAGAAAAUUAAAAGCUUGGAGGAGGUCUACAUUGAGGGAGAUGACAACAUUGGUGCAUCGGCUGUGGAUUUCUUCAAGUCCUUGUUAGCAGAUUCUUCAUUGUUAAACAGACAGGCAACCUUGGAGCUAUGAAACAAUGUUCCUACCCUUGUAACACCUCUACAGAACGACCAACUGAUAGAGGAAGUCACUCUAGAGGAAGUUGAAAGGGCAGUGUUUGAAUUGGAUGGGCAAAGUGUAGCUGACAGCGAUGGAUUUGCAGGUUGCUUUUAUACUCAUUGUUGGGAGAUCAUUGCAGAAGAUGUCUUCUGAGCUGUUCGAGAAUUCAUGUGUGGAGGAGUAAAUUCUUAAGUUGUGAUGAAAAAAUAAAGUUAUUCUACAAGAGGUGUAAUUUUUGAAGUUAAUUCCAAAAGUGUGAUCUUCGCAUUUGUGAAAUGCGAGUUCAGAUACUUCGCAUUUCACAAAUGCGAGGUCAGUCUUUUACGAAAAAAAGAAAAAUAAGCUCGCAUUCUACUCAGUCUGAGCACAAAGCCAGAGCUCCCAAUCGCCAUUCAAAUCUGUCUCACUCUCUCCAUCCAGCUCACUCCUCACUCUCUCCUCUUUUGUUGAGCUUCCAUCUUUCUCGUCAGGCGAAAUCUUGGUCACAGCUUGGUCGUCGGAAUCUCGCGGCCUUCUCGUCGGAAGCUCUUCUCUUUUGUAGAGCUGUAGCCGUUCUCAUCAGGCGAAAUCUGGGCACAGCUUUCUCGUCGGAAGCGUCGGAAGAUCUCGGCCAUUGUAGAGCUUGGACCCUUCUUCGGAACCCAUCUCUGCUAGGCAGUUGCGCCUCUCUCCCCCCUCCCAAUUUGCCACUUUUACAACCACAACAGGACUCCCCAACCAAUUUUGUGUCCCAUUUGCACUGCACAUUUUCUUUUCACUUGGCAAAUGGCUUUCAAAUUCGUGACUGUGCUCUGUUACUUAGAAACAGCAUAAGGGGCUGGGGCUGGAAUUCAACUGCAUGAACCAUGGAAAUCAAUGCAUCUGCUCUUGUUGAAUGUGAGUGGGUUAUGAUAUUAAACAACAAUGUUCGAGAUCAUCUCAUGCUGGUCUGAUAGAGUUGCAGAGGAUGGACACUCGCUUGGCACGUAUCGAGGAUCAUUUAAGCAUUACUCCACCUCAGGGUGGAGCUGCAGAUGAAGAUGACGAUUGAAGCUGCACCAUUACGAUCACUAUAUUAUUUGUGCAUGGAUUUGCUUGCAUUUUGUUCUUAAUCUGUGGAAUGUUGGAUGUUUAACUUGAUUUUACUUUUUCUGUUUUUUAAUUUACUAAAGACUUGUGCUUUUGCAGUGGUUUGUGAUUAUUGGCUGACAAGUUGUUGGAAAUAUUGCUUGGAUUAAA